UGGCCGUAUUAGAGGGCUGGAUGACAAUUUCAAGGUUACAGUUUGGGGUUUUGCAUUCUGAGACAAGGAAAAUCAAUCCUAAUCUACAGAGGGACUGAAUUGCAAAUGUCAGAGUGCAAAGGGCUUGAGCCUGGCAGAUGAGAACCAGAGCCAUUCGCAUGUUUAAUGCCAUCAACAACAGAAAGGGGAAAACAAAAAGGAAGCAAUCCUGCAAGAUGUGAAGUAUCCUUAGCUCCCUGUAGUGAGGCGGAGUGGCCUCCCACUGACCCAGAGUGGGAAAGAGGCCACUUUCUGAGCCCAGGUGAGCAGAUCCAGUCUGUGCCCGCCCACCCCUCCCAUCAGAAGGAAGGAGGCGGACAGGAAAUAUAAAGGGUGGGUCCUGGAGCUCAGUUGUGCUGCAGCCGCUGAAGGAUAUAGAUGCUUCCUGCCCGCUCCUGGAGACCAUAGAGAAGCCCUGUCAAGCUUAAGAUUGGCCAGACCUGCUGUAGCCACCAGCCAACCAAGGCACUGAGGACUUGCUGGGACUACCGCUAGCCAUCUACCCUCAGGAAACAGAGGACCCCCCCAGAUCCAGGUGCACCCCGAGGGGAGGGGAGGAAGUGGCCCAGGGACAGCUGACCCCAGUCUGGCUGCAUUGCCGCUAGAAACCCGGUCAGCGUGUUGCGACUGGGUUCUCUGCUGACACGGUGGCGGAACGCUCCACUGCUGUUAAGGUCCUGGGCUGGGACCUGGUGGAGUCAGGUGGGUCCAGGCCCCGCUGCAACCCUGCCCCUGGGGUGGCUGCCUCCCCACUUUAGGCUGUGAGGCCUGUGUUUGUCUGCUGUCUACCUGAGACAAGAUGUCUGACAAUAGACUGCCUACUGCUCUGCCCUGCCUCAGAGGUCAGAGAAACCUUAGACUGUUGGGUGC